GACGAACGCUGGCGGCGUGCUUAACACAUGCAAGUCGAACGGAAAGGCCCUGCUUGCAGGGUGCUCGAGUGGCGAACGGGUGAGUAACACGUGGGUGAUCUGCCCCUUACUUUGGGAUAAGCCUGGGAAACUGGGUCUAAUACUAGAUAGGACCAUGCUGUAGGUGGUGUGGUGGAAAGAUUAGUUUCGGUAAGGGAUGAGCUCGCGGCCUAUCAGCUUGUUGGUGGGGUAAUGGCCUACCAAGGCGUCGACGGGUAGCCGGCCUGAGAGGGUGGACGGCCACAUUGGACUGAGAUACGGCCCAGACUCCUACGGGAGGCAGCAGUGGGGAAUAUUGCACAAUGGGCGCAAGCCUGAUGCAGCGACGCCGCGGGGGGGAUGACGGCCUUCGGGUUGUAAACUCCUUUCAGCCAUGACGAAGCCCUUGUGGUGACGGUAGUGGUAGAAGAAGCACCGGCUAACUACGUG
rnacentral:rRNA from 1 species